rnacentral:sRNA from 1 species
GGGAGGUAAAUUUCUUCUAAAGGCUAAAUAUUGGCCAGAGACCGAUAGCGCACAAGUAGGAGUGAUCGAAAGAUGAAAAGCACUUUGGAAAGAGAGUCAAAAAGCACGUGAAAUUGUUGAAAGGGAAGCGCUUGCAAUCAGACUUGCCUGUAGUUGCUCAUCUGGACUCUUGUCCGGUGCACUCUUCUGCGGGCAGGCCAGCAUCAGUUCAGGCGGCUGGAUAAAGGCCUCUAUCACGUAUCUUCCUUCGGGAUGACCUUAUAGGGGAGGUGUAAUGCAGCCAGCCUGGAUUGAGGUCCGCGCAUCUGCUAGGAUGCUGGCGUAAUGAUUGUAAGCGGCCCGUCUUGAAACACGGGAC